GCUAUCCUCUUCUGGCCAAAAGUUUAUGCACAUAUUCCCAUCCACAUAAAAAAAUCUCAUUAAAAUUAAUAUUUUAUUUUGGUCAGAUCUGUUGUAAUGCUGUUCUGAUCAAAUGUUUGGCAGUCAACUACAAUUUAAAGACUGAUUUUAAUCCAUACCAAACUUAUUGGCAAACUGAUGUGUUGAAAAGCCCUGUGGGACUUAGAUUUAUUGUAGAAUUACAUUUUA
rnacentral:misc_RNA from 1 species